AUUGAACGCUGGCGGCAGGCUUAACACGUGCAAGUCGAGCGGGGGAAGGUAGCUUGCUACCUAACCUAGCGGCGGACGGGUGAGUAAUGCUUAGGAAUCUGCCUAUUAGUGGGGGACAACAUUUCGAAAGGGAUGCUAAUACCGCAUACGCCCUAAGGGGGAAAGCAGGGGAUCUUCGGACCUUGCGCUAAUAGAUGAGCCUAAGUCGGAUUAGCCAGUUGGUGGGGUAAAGGCCUACCAAGGCGACGAUCUGUAGCGGGUCUGAGAGGAUGAUCCGCCACACUGGGACUGAGACACGGCCCAGACUCCUACGGGAGGCAGCAGUGGGGAAUAUUGGACAAUGGGGGGAACCCUGAUCCAGCCAUGCCGCGUGUGUGAAGAAGGCCUUUUGGUUGUAGAGCACUUUAAGCGAGGAGGAGGCUACCGAGAUUAAUACUCUUGGAUAGUGGACGUUACUCGCAGAAUAAGCACCGGCUAACUCUGUGCCAGCAGCCGCGGUAAAAC
rnacentral:rRNA from 1 species